GGGGCGGUAGCUCGCUAUGGCAGGCGAGGUGGUCCGUAAAACCGCCGCGUUCAUCGCCCGCCAGGUUCGAUUCCUGGACGCCCCA
rnacentral:tRNA from 1 species